AUCGCUUCUCGGCCUUUUGGCUAAGAUCAAGUGUAAAAAAAGAAAGAAAUGAACAUAUAUGAUCUAUAUAAAUGUAAGUCUUCUUUGAUUUUUAUUUAUUUAUUAUUACUAUUUUUUCGAGAUGGAGUUUCGCUCUUGUUGCCCCCGCUGGAGUGCAAUGGCAUGAUCUCUGCUCACUGCAACCUCCACCUCCC